AAAAUAACAAUGAUUUCCCUAGUAACGGCGAGUGAAGAGGAAAGAGCUCAAAGUUGGAACCUGUUUGGCCUAGCUAAACCGGAUUGUAGACUGUAGAAGUGUUUUCCAGGCAAGCCGAGUAAAUAAGUCCUUUGGAACAGGGCAUCAUAGAGGGUGAGAAUCCCGUCUUUGGCUUGAGCAUUUGCCUUUUGUGAUACGCUUUCAAAGAGUCAGGUUGUUUGGGAAUGCAGCCUAAAUUGGGUGGUAAAUCUCACCUAAAGCUAAAUAUUGGCGAGAAACCGAUAGCGAACAAGUACCGUGAGGGAAAGAUGAAAAGAACUUUGAAAAGAGAGUUAAACAGUAUGUGAAAUUGUUAAAAGGGAACCGUUUGGAGCCAGACUGGCUUGUCUGUAAUCAAUCUAGGCUUCGGCCUGGAUGCACUUGCAGGCUAUGCCUGCCAACGACAAUUUGACUUGAGGGAAAAAACUAGGGGAAAUGUGGCCCACUUGUGGGUGUUAUAGUCCCUUAGAAAAUACCUUGGGUUGGAUUGAGGAACGCAGCGAAUGCUUAUUGGCGAGUUUUCCAGGAAGGUUUUCUGAGGUACUACGGUAUCAAGGUUGAUCUUUUUGGUUAUACUUCUAUUCGCUUAGGUUGUUGGCUUAAUGACUCUAAAUGAC
rnacentral:rRNA from 3 species